UACGAAGGGGGCUAGCGUUGUUCGGAAUCACUGGGCGUAAAGCGCACGUAGGCGGAUUGUUAAGUCAGGGGUGAAAUCCUGGAGCUCAACUCCAGAACUGCCCUUGAUACUGUCGGUCUCGAGUCCGGGAGAGGUGAGUGGAACUGCGAGUGUAGAGGUGAAAUUCGUAGAUAUUCGCAAGAACACCAGUGGCGAAGGCGGCUCACUGGCCCGGUACUGACGCUGAGGUGCGAAAGCGUGGGGAGCAAACAGG
rnacentral:rRNA from 1 species